rnacentral:rRNA from 1 species
CUGCUGCCUUCCGUAGGAGUCUGGGCCGUGUCUCAGUCCCAAUGUGGCCGUUCACCCUCUCAGGCCGGCUACUGAUCGUUGCCUUGGUGGGCUUUUACCUCACCAACUAGCUAAUCAGACGCGGAACCAUCGUAUACCACCGGAGUUUUUCACACUGCUUCAUGCGAAGCUGUGCGCUUAUGCGGUAUUAGCACCUAUUUCUAAGUGUUAUCCCCCAGUAUACGGCAGGUUUUCCACGCGUUACUCACCCGUCCG